rnacentral:tRNA from 1 species
GUAUAGCUCAGUGGCAGAGUGCAUGUUUAGCAUGCAUGAGGUCCUGGGUUCAAUCCCCAGUAC